rnacentral:rRNA from 1 species
AGCGAACGCUGGCGGCAGGCCUAACACAUGCAAGUCGAACGAACCUUUCGGGGUUAGUGGCGGACGGGUGAGUAACACGUGGGAACGUGCCCUUAGGUUCGGAAUAACUCAGGGAAACUUGUGCUAAUACCGAAUGUGCCCUUCGGGGGAAAGAUUAAUCGCCUUUAGAGCGGCCCGCGUCUGAUUAGCUAGUUGGGUGAGGUAAUGGCUCACCAAGGCGACGAUCAGUAGCUGGUCUGAGAGGAUGAUCAGCCACAUUGGGACUGAGACACGGCCCAAACUCCUACGGGAGGCAGCAGUGGGGAAUCUUGCGCAAUGGGCGAAAGCCUGACGCAGCCAUGCCGCGUGAAUGAUGAAGGUCUUAGGAUUGUAAAAUUCUUUCACCGGGGACGAUAAUGACGGUACCCGGAGAAGAAGCCCCGGCUAACUUCGUG